rnacentral:lncRNA from 1 species
ACUUAUUGUGAAGGAUUCUGGAAGGUAUUUUCUUAAGAAGAUAGGUGGCAGUUAACAGACAAUCCCCCCAGAAAGACACAGGUAGGCCAGAUUGAAAAAGCAGGGCUCUACAUGUUUCAAAGAGUGUUCUGUGUUUUUUUUUCAACAACACCAUUCUGUUGAGGUGAAUGAGGGCAGGAGGUUUGAUGAAUAAUCCCCUUGCUACUAAAAAAGGAUAUUCCCUCAGUGUUGGAUCCCAGUUCUAAUGCAUUGUCACUUCUGACAGUCUGAACCACAGAGUUAAACUGAGUUUUAACAAAAGAGAUGAAAGACUUAAGUAGGGAAAAGGCAUUGCUUUUGGAUCCCAUUAAGUGUGUCCAGGUUUCCCUAGAAAUGUCAUCAACUAUAGUAAGGAAGUAUUUGUAACCAGAAGAAGUAGAAGUGUGGUAAGGACCCCAAGUAUCCACAUGUAUUAAUUAGAAUGGUCUAGUUGUACUGAUACUGCUGUCAUGAAAAGGGAGUCUAGUAUGUUUGGCCAUAGGGCAAACAGAACAGGGAAAAGGUUGUUUAGAAGCAAGAGGAAAAGACAAACCAGAAAUAUGUCUCAUAUUUGCAAAAGGAGUGUGUGCUAGUCUUAAAUGCCAAAUGUAAUUCAUAUCAUUGGUAAAAACAUUAUUACAAAUGGUAUUAUUUACAAUUGGAGGCAAAGCAACAGUUUUGCUGUCAGACACAUUGUCAUCAUUACAAAAAUCAGACAAAGCACACACAGACAACAUCAUUAUUACAAAUGGAAUUGUUUACAAUUGGAGGUAAGCCAACAUUUUUGCUGUCGGACACAGUGUCAUCAUUACAAAAAUCAGACAAAGCACACACAGAAGUAAAAGGGGAAACAGGAGAGGGAGAAGGGGAAUGAGGCACCCAAGACAGUUUGUAUAAGCCAGCUUCCUCUUUACCAAGAUCCAGAGGCCUCUUCAAAGAAGGGUCCUGUAUCAUGUGAAGUAAACAGGAAGUUGGAGUAAACAAAACUAUACAGUGCAACUGUUUAAUCAACUUGUGAACAGAAAUCAAGUUGUGUUUAAAGGAAGGAACCAGAACCACAUUAUGAAGAGUAAGGGAAGAAGUUAACAAUUAGGUAAAGUCACAAGAUAAGGAACAGUCAAGGUUAUGAUGUUAAAGAGUAGGUUUUUAUCAUGUGUCAUAUGGUUAGAUGCCCCUGAAUCAAUGAUUUAGGUGACAGAAUUAAUGUGUGUAAGCAUGCAUAAUUUGGAAUCAGAAACAAGACUCUCAGUCAACAUUGUACCGACAAAAUUAGCAGCACACAUGGGAGGAGGAGCUUGAUCACUGGAAUCCCCUAACUUAGUCUGUUGCAACAGGUUCAUCAAUUGAUCAUAGUGAUGUCUGCUCAACCCUGGUAUCACAGAACUGUGACCAUCUAUGUGGCUGGCAGAAGGAUCCCCAAGAGGAANNNNNNNNNNNNNNNNNNNNNNNNNNNNNNNNNNNNNNNNCAUUAUGAAGAGUAAGGGAAGAAGUUAAUGCAAAAGAACCUGUACAAGUUACUUUUACUUUGUAACCAUUAGGCAAAGUUACAAGAUAAGGAACAGUCAAGGGUAUGAUGUUAAAGAGUAGUUUUUUUAUCAUGUGUCAUAUGAUUAGGUGCCCCUGAAUCAAUGAUCCAGGUGACAGAAUUAAUAUGGGUAAGCAUGCAUAAUUUGGAAUCAGAAACAAGACUCUCAGUCAACAUAGUACCAGCAAAAUUAN